ensembl:lncRNA
CCCCGCCUCUCCCCCGCAGUGCGGGCGGGCCCAGCACACAGAGAAUGCAGGCGGCGUAGACCAAGUGGCCGCGACCCGCGGGGGGAGUGGACGGGGACCCAGACUGAGAGUGGCCGAGCUGAGAGAUCCCGGGCCAAGGAGCCGGGGUCUGAGUCAAGCGGACAGCUCGCGGAGGAUUUGUCGCCUUUCAGCGUGGGGCAGCGGUGGAGGAACCCGCUGCGGGAAAAGGACCGCUCUCCUUCCGCAGCCCAAGAGAAGGUCUGAGCGACGGCUCUGGAGGGCAUGGGAGCAGAGGGCAAGUCCUGUGGCCACUGCUGAGUGCUCUAUACAGUCAGCAAAAACAAGACUGGGAGCUGACUGUGGCUUGGAUCAUCAACUCCUUGUUGCCAAAUUCAGACUGAAAUUGAAGAAAGUGGAGAAAACCACUCAGGAGACAUGGGUUCGAUCCCUGGUUCAGGAAGAUGCUGUGUGCUGAGGAACAACUAAGCCCGUGCGCCGCAACUGCUGAGCCCAAGAGCCACAGCUUCUGCGCCUGGACGCUGCAGAGACUGAAGCCUGAUUGCCCGGCGCCUGUGCUCACAAGAGAAGCCGCCACAAUGAGAAGCCCCUGGACCGCAACAAAGAGUAACCCC